GUCUAGGUUUCUAGAAUAGAAAGUCACUAAUGGUUUACGUUCCUUUCAUGGUUUACUAAUAGUUUACGUUGUUAAAGGGAAGCUGGACGAGAUAACAAAAAUCUUCAGUUUAGAUCUUGGAGGCAUAUCAACUGUGGUUCUAAAUGGCUAUGAUGUAGUAAAGGAAUGCCUUGUUCAUCAAAGUGAAAUUUUUGCAGACAGACCAUGCCUUCCUUUAUUCAUGAAGAUGACAAAAAUGGGAGGCUUACUCAAUUCCAGAUAUGGCCGAGGAUGGGUCGAUCACAGACGAUUAGCUGUAAACAGUUUUCGAUAUUUUGGAUAUGGCCAAAAGUCUUUUGAAUCUAAAAUCUUGGAAGAAACCAAAUUUUUCAUUGAUGCUAUUGAAACUUACAAAGGUAGACCUUUUGACUUUAAACAGUUAAUAACGAAUGCUGUUUCAAACAUAACUAAUCUGAUCAUUUUUGGAGAACGAUUCACUUAUGAAGACACCGAUUUUCAGCACAUGAUUGAGUUAUUUAGUGAAAACGUGGAACUAGCUGCCAGUGCCUCAGUCUUCUUGUAUAAUGCCUUUCCAUGGAUUGGCAUCCUGCCUUUUGGAAAACAUCAACAGCUGUUUAGAAAUGCAGCUGUAGUCUAUGAUUUUCUCUCCAGACUCAUUGAAAAAGCUUCAGUCAACAGAAAGCCUCAGCUACCUCAGCAUUUUGUUGAUGCUUAUUUAGAUGAGAUGGAUCAAGGUAAAAAUGACCCAUCAUCUACUUUCUCCAAAGAAAAUCUAAUUUUCUCAGUGGGUGAACUCAUCAUUGCUGGAACUGAAACUACAACCAAUGUGCUACGGUGGGCAAUUCUUUUCAUGGCCCUUUAUCCUAAUAUUCAAGG
rnacentral:sRNA from 1 species